GAGGGUAUAGCUCAAGUGGUAGAGUGCGUGUUUAGCAUGCAUGAGGUCCCGGGUUCAAUUCUCAUUACCUCCU
rnacentral:tRNA from 1 species